ensembl:misc_RNA
UCAGAUGUCAUCAUCUUUUAUUUAUUCAUAGUGCAUACGCUAAGAGCAUUCGAGAAACAAUCUCCCCUCAUUGCUUCACCCCUAACCUAGCAAGAGCAGCUCUAAGUGAGAAAGGGAUUUGGAGACUUCCUGAUUAUUCAUGAAA